rnacentral:rRNA from 1 species
UACGUAGGGGGCAAGCGUUGUCCGGAAUUAUUGGGCGUAAAGAGCUCGUAGGCGGUCUGUCGCGUCGGCUGUGAAAACCCGAGGCUCAACCUCGGGCCUGCAGUCGAUACGGGCAAACUAGAGUACUGCAGGGGAGACUGGAAUUCCUGGUGUAGCGGUGAAAUGCGCAGAUAUCGGGAGGAACACCGGUGGCGAAGGCGGGUCUCUGGGCAGUAACUGACGCUGAGGAGCGAAAGCGUGGGGAGCGAACAGG